rnacentral:rRNA from 1 species
UACGUAGGGGGCUAGCGUUGUCCGGAAUCCUUGGGCGUAAAGCGCGCGUAGGCGGCCCGGUAAGUCCGCUGUAAAAGUCAAAGGCUCAACCUUUGAAUGUCAGUGGAUACUGCCGGGCUAGAGUCCGGAAGAGGCGAGUGGAACUCCUGGUGUAGCGGUGGAAUGCGCAGAUAUCAGGAAGAACACCGACGGCGAAGGCAGCUCGCUGGGACGGUACUGACGCUGAGGCGCGAAAGCGUGGGGAGCGAACAGG